AACCUCUUUAUGUCACCUAGUUCUUUUGAUUUGUAGUUCAUGAGCAUGUAAGAGAUAUGCCACCUUUGAACCUUAUUACGUCAGCACAUUAUCUGUCUCACC
rfam:Chlorocebus sabaeus isolate 1994-021 chromosome 20, whole genome shotgun sequence.